rnacentral:lncRNA from 1 species
CUGAGGUGGUGGCCAAGGAAACCAAGGUUGGAACCAUCAAGGAGAUUGGAAGAAUAAAAGUGAUAGAAGUGGGCUGUAUGUACCUCUUGGAAGUCGUGAUAAUGCUGUCGCCAGUUCAGCCAAAAUGUCCAUGGAGGACAUGAUAGAGAAACUAUUAAAGGGAGUUAAGGCAACAAAUUUUGGGGUGACUACUGUAAAGAGUGACAUAUCUUUCA